AUGUACUCGUGGGAGUGUGAAGUCAUUUCACGUCAUGUGGAGUCAGGUCUUUGCCACUCCUCCUCCGUGUGCUCCUCUGCUGCCCGAGACACAGGCAGGCACUCGGCUUCGGCUGUGUGUGUGGACCCUGUGACAGCUGCCAGAGGCCAAGGAAGACUCCCAAAGGGUCUGGUUCCUGUGGGGGGAGCAGGUGUGGGCUCUGGGAGAGGGGAACCCACAUAGAACGACUUUUCAGCUGCACAGGGCGCUGGGCAUUCUGCAUCCCGGUCCGGUCCAGUCCAGUACAGCAAGCGAGCAGGAAACGCAGUGCCAACAGCACUGGCUGAAGACUGAUAGGAGCACAUGGAACCCUUCUGCCUCAGAACCCACCACGUACACGACUGCUCAGUGAACUAUUUACGAGAGUUUCCCACUAGGGACAAAAUCCAACUUUACACAAAGAGACUUUAUACGGAGGAGCAGCGAUCCCCUGAUUUCCACGUGGUUUCUUUCUGGCUUCAGGCAUGUGACCUGCCUGUGUCACUGUGUGUCUAGCUCUUUCUUUAGACUUGUAGUACGCCAUCUAUCCUAGAGGAUUUGAGACACAAAGCUUCCGUGCCUAUGCAGAAAGUCACUGAAAGCUUAAACUCCUUGUGAAAAAAAAAUCCAAAUCUAGUGAUACUGAAGGAAGAGGGGAAGGGAAAACUUGAAGAGGAAAAAUGAAAUAAAACACCCUAAAGCUUAAUCAAAUUUCAGUGACUGUGUCUCUUUGGCAUAGUGCUGGAUCUUCCAGUGACGGCCCA
rnacentral:lncRNA from 1 species